GACGAACGCUGGCGGCGUGCUUAACACAUGCAAGUCGAGCGAUGAAGCUCCUUCGGGAGUGGAUUAGCGGCGGACAGGUGAGUAACACGUGGGUAACCUGCCUCAUAGAGGGGAAUAGCCUUUCGAAAGGAAGAUUAAUACCGCAUAAGAUUGUAGUACCGCAUGGUAUAGCAAUUAAAGGAGUAAUCCGCUAUGAGAUGGACCCGCGUCGCAUUAGCUAGUUGGUGAGGUAACGGCUCACCAAGGCGACGAUGCGUAGCCGACCUGAGAGGGUGAUCGGCCACAUUGGGACUGAGACACGGCCCAGACUCCUACGGGAGGCAGCAGUGGGGAAUAUUGCACAAUGGGGGAAACCCUGAUGCAGCAACGCCGCGUGAGUGAUGACGGUCUUCGGAUUGUAAAGCUCUGUCUUCAGGGACGAUAAUGACGGUACCUGAGGAGGAAGCCACGGCUAACUACGUGCCAGCCGCCGCUGUAAUAC
rnacentral:rRNA from 1 species